UGCGUAGGCGGUUUAUUAAGUCAGAUGUGAAAUUCCGGGGCUCAACCCCGGCGCUGCAUUUGAAACUAAUAGACUUGAGGAUAAUCGGAGAAAGCAGAAUUCCAUGUGUAGCGGUGGAAUGCGUAGAUAUAUGGAAGAAUACCGGUGGCGAAGGCGGCUUUCUAGAUUAUUCCUGACGCUGAGGCACGAAAGCUAGGGGAGCAAACAGGAUUAGAUACCCUGGUAGUCC
rnacentral:rRNA from 1 species